AUCUUCGGCCAUAGGAUUGUGAAAACGCCGCAUCCCGUCCGAUCUGCGCAGCUAAGCACAAUACCGCUCAGUCAGUAGGAAGGUGGGGGACCACUUCCGAAUCCUGAGUAUCCGUUCGGUC
rnacentral:rRNA from 1 species